rnacentral:rRNA from 1 species
UACGUAGGGGGCAAGCGUUGUCCGGAGUUACUGGCGUAAAGCGCACGCAGGCGGUCUCUUAAGUUUGGAGUGACAGUUGGUGGCUUAACUGCCAAAGUGCUUCGAAAACUGAGAGACUUGAGGGCUUCAGAGGGACACGGAAUUCCGGGUGGAGUGGUGAAAUGCGUAGAGAUCGGGAGGAACACCUGUGGCGAAGGCGGCUCGCUGGGCCGGUCCUGACGCUGAGACGCGAAGGCGUGGGAGCGAACGG